rnacentral:tRNA from 1 species
AGGCAGAAAGAAGGAUGAGAGCUGCUAACUCUUCAACCGGGUAGUUAAAUUCUACUCACUGUCUC